rnacentral:rRNA from 1 species
CGGACGAACGCUGGCGGCGCGCCUAACACAUGCAAGUCGAACGAGAGAUGAGGAGCUCGCUCUUCAAAUCGAGUCGGCGAACGGGUGAGUAACGCGUGAGGAACCUGCCUCAAAGAGGGGGACAACAGUUGGAAACGACUGCUAAUACCGCAUAAGCCCACGGCUCGGCAUCGAGCAGAGGGAAAAGGAGCAAUCCGCUUUGAGAUGGCCUCGCGUCCGAUUAGCUAGUUGGUGAGGUAACGGCCCACCAAGGCGACGAUCGGUAGCCGGACUGAGAGGUUGAACGGCCACAUUGGGACUGAGACACGGCCCAGACUCCUACGGGAGGCAGCAGUGGGGAAUAUUGCACAAUGGGGGAAAACCCCGAUGCAGCGACGCCGCGUGGAGGAAGAAGGUCUUCGGAUUGUAAACUCCUGUUGUUGAGGAAGAUAAUGACGGUACUCAACAAGGAAGUGACGGCUAACUACGUGCCAGCAGCCGCGGUAAAACGUAGGUCACAAGCGUUGUCCGGAAUUACUGGGUGUAAAGGGAGCGCAGGCGGGAGAACAAGUUGGAAGUGAAAUCCAUGGGCUCAACCCAUGAACUGCUUUCAAAACUGUUUUUCUUGAGUAGUGCAGAGGUAGGCGGAAUUCCCGGUGUAGCGGUGGAAUGCGUAGAUAUCGGGAGGAACACCAGUGGCGAAGGCGGCCUACUGGGCACCAACUGACGCUGAGGCUCGAAAGUGUGGGUAGCAAACAGGAUUAGAUACCCUGGUAGUCCACACCGUAAACGAUGAUUACUAGGUGUUGGAGGAUUGACCCCUUCAGUGCCGCAGUUAACACAAAUAAGUAAUCCACCUGGGGAGUACGACCGCAAGGUUG